rnacentral:rRNA from 1 species
CAGCUCUCCGAGUAGUGUGGACGUUUAUUGGGCCUAAAGCAUCCGUAGCUUGCUAGAUAAGGCCUCUGUUAAAUCCACCGAUUCAAUCGUUGGAUUGCGGGGGAUACUGUUUGGCUAGGGGACGGGAGAGGUCGACGGUAUUUCCGGGGUAGGGGUGAAAUCCUAUAAUCCCGGGAGGACCACCAGUGGCGAAGGCUGUCGACUAGAACGCGCCCGACGGUGAGGGAUGAAAGCUGGGGGAGCGAACCGGAUUAGAUACCCGAGUAGUCC